rnacentral:rRNA from 1 species
UACGUAGGGACCGAGCGUUGUCCGGAAUCAUUGGGCGUAAAGAGCGUGUAGGCGGCUUGCUAAGUCUUGCGUGAAAUCUCGGGGCUCAACCCCGAGCGGUCGUGGGAAACUGGCAGGCUAGAGUGCGGGAGAGGAGAAUGGAAUUCCUGGUGUAGCGGUGAAAUGCGCAGAUAUCAAGUGGAACACCAGUGGCGAAGGCGAGUCUCUGGACAUUUCCUGACGCUGAGGCACGAAAGCCAGGGGAGCAAACGGG